UAAUGUCUCUUGCCAGGCAGGAACUGUAGAAAGUGGAACAACUACAAGAAAAGGUCCAUGCUGUCUUAAAGAAUGUGCAAGAUAUGAAAGAAAAGCCACAGUUUGGACUGUCUUACCGAGACCCAUUUCAUCGGCCAAAAUCCCAUUUUCAUUUUUAUGCCAAAGAUAUGCCAUCCAGUUGACGCCUGUAAGCUGAAAGUCACGAAGCUCACCACCGGUUAUAUACGAAGGCUGUUGCUCCAGUUUUCGA